UACAGAGGUCCCAAGCGUUGUUCGGAUUCACUGGGCGUAAAGGGUGCGUAGGUGGCCAGGUAAGUUCGGUGUGAAAGCUCGGAGCUUAACUCCGAAAUGUCAUUGAAUACUAUCUGGCUGGAGGGUCGGAGGGGAGACUGGAAUUCUCGGUGUAGCAGUGAAAUGCGUAGAUAUCGAGAGGAACACCAGUGGCGAAGGCGAGUCUCUGGGCAGUAACUGACGCUGAGGAGCGAAAGCGUGGGGAGCGAACAGG
rnacentral:rRNA from 1 species